rnacentral:rRNA from 1 species
UCGGGAAUUUUGGGCAAUGGGCGAAAGCCUGACCCAGCAACGCCGCGUGAAGGAUGAAGUAUUUCGGUAUGUAAACUUCGUAAGAAUAGGAAGAAUUAAUGACGGUACUAUUUGUAAGGUCCGGCUAACUACGUGCCAGCAGCCGCGGUAAUACGUAGGGACCAAGCGUUGUUCGGAUUUACUGGGCGUAAAGGGCGCGUAGGCGGCGUGACAAGUCACUUGUGAAAUCUCCGGGCUUAACUCGGAACGGCCAAGUGAUACUGUCGUGCUAGAGUGCAGAAGGGGCAAUCGGAAUUCUUGGUGUAGCGGUGAAAUGCGUAGAUAUCAAGAGGAACACCUGAGGCGAAGGCGGGUUGCUAGGCUGACACUGACGCUGAUGCGCGAAAGCCAGGGGAGCAAACGGG